rnacentral:tRNA from 1 species
GGGGCUAUAGCUCAGAUGGGAGAGCACUUGCCUUGCACGCAGGGGGUCAGGGGUUCGAAUCCCCUUAGCUCCACCA